CCAAGAUGUAGCCUCUCUAGUUAAGAUGGAACUAUAGGCGUUUUCUAAUCAUGAGAAGGAAAAUUUCUGGACAACGAGUAAAAGUGGGUAAAUGAGUGGGGAAACAGGAGCUGCAAGGCAAGCUAUAUAUGGAAUGAGCAUUGCACCCAGAAUGAAUACAAAACGCCGUAGUGGUUGGAACCUCAGGCAUUUGGCCCACCUCACUUUCUCAGAAGGAGAGGCUCUAGUGCUGGCUACGAUAUACGCAAUGCCUGCAUAGGUGGGAGCAAGAUAGUUCAAGAAUGGUCAGUCAUCUCACCCUCACUCUUCUUAUGAACGUUUACAUAUUUGGCAUGUUGGUGCGAGUAUUGUAUAAAAUUUAUACGAUAACUGUUCAGACGCGGUCUUGAAAUGAAUAUGAAACUGUGGUUUUCUAACA